rnacentral:lncRNA from 1 species
CAGGUAGAGUACUUCUUUUGCAAGAAGCAGGGGUGCUGGAAGAGGAACUGUCCUCUAUACAUUGCCUCACUGGACUCGAACAGGCCAAAGAAGAAGCAAGGUACUUAUAUGAUAACACCUUGUAACUUUUCCAUUUGUGAUACUACUACCUGGGUAUUGGAUACCGGAAGUCCUUAUCAUAUUUGCAAUUCGAUGCAGGGUCUACAGGUCAGUAGGAGAUUUGAUGAAGGCGAGAGGGUCCUGAAUGUUGGAGAUGGAAGCAAAGUUCCAGUUCUAGCUCUAGGAAUCAUGAACCUUAUAAUCAAUUCUCGAAAUAUAAUUCUGAGUGAAUGUCACUAUUGUCCAAGCUUUUUAUUAAAUAUUAUUUCUGUAGGCCUUUUGGCCAUGUAC